rnacentral:rRNA from 1 species
UGUCGUCAGCUCGUGUCGUGAGAUGUUGGGUUAAGUCCGUAACGAGCGCAACCCUUGUCCUUAGUUACCAGCACGUUAUGGUGGGCACUCUAAGGAGACUGCCGGUGGACAAACCGGAGGAAGGUGGGGAGUGACGUCAAGUCAUCAUGGCCCUUACGGCCUGGGCUACACACGUGCUACAAUGGUCGGUACAAAGGGUUGCCAAGCCGCGAGGUGGAGCUAAUCCCAUAAACCGAUCGUAGUCCGGAUCGCAGUCUGCAACUCGACUGCGUGAAGUCGGAAUCGCUAGUAAUCGUGAAUCAGAAUGUCACGGUGAAUACGUUCCCGGGCCUU